rnacentral:lncRNA from 1 species
CAUGCCCCCUGCUCUAGAUGAGGAAGAAAGUGGAGAACUAUGGGCUGACCUACCCUUGGAAGUCUAUGAGGAUCCCGUGGAUCCACAAGUCUGAGUGCAUGACUGUUCUUGCACUCUGAUGAGUCUAAUAACAUAGUGAAAGAAGUGGCCCUUAUGUUUUGUUUUAUAUUUUGCAGUCACUUAUGGCAUCAAUAUAUGUAUGUAUUGGGACUCAUAUGUAUUUGUAAG